UUUUUAGCGUUAUCUCCGCCGUCCUCCGGGGAGCGCUCCGCCCGCAGAGCCGCCCCUGUGCCUCAGUUUCCCUCGUUGCGCACCGUCCUCCAACCCGUCCCACCGCCGCCAUCCCGCCCCGCACGCGGUCCGCUCUGCUCCAGCCCUGGCAGAGAACGGAUGCAGUGAGUUGGACGGGUGUCACCGGGUCUCUAAAAGUGACAACAUAGGGUGAGGAGUGCCGCGUCCCAUUGCUGUCCUCUUUUCGUAGCUUUCAUCCCUAAGGCCCAGCACCAGGAGGCAGCAGCACGGCCUCGCUCCGUGGGAUCUGGCAUCGUUCCUUAGGCUGCAGUGAGUUGGCGCGGUCUCAGCGCAGCAGGGAGGGCCGUGCCAGCCCGCGCAGGCUCUGCCAGCCUCAGCCCCAGCCCCGAAAUGCCAGGAUAACACUGGAUUUGUACAGAUUUCCCUGCUGGAAUGGAAGGGAGGGAGGGAGGAAGUUUUAACUCUCCUUUUCCCUGCCAGUGUUGUUCAGCUCGGCAGCACAGAAGGGAUGGGAGUGGGUCACCCACAGCACGGAUGGGGCUGUGCCCCACUGCCACCCCUCCCCAAAAAGUCACCUAUUCACCAUUGCUCCAGUAGGAAACUUGGACUGUCCUCUGCUCCUCACGUUCCCCCUGCGUCCUCCAGACAGUCUCAGCAAGUCCCUUAUGGCACACUUGGUUUCGGGGGGAAUGUGCUCCCCCAUCCCCUGCCCCGUGCCCCCUCAUCACCCGUCCCUGCUCUCAGCUCAGAGCUGUAAGCCCGGAGCACAGCAACCCCCCCAGCACUGAUGACUGCGAGGGGCUAUUGCAAAAGGUAGGGAAAUAAGGGGUGAAACACACCCCGGAGGGACUGGGACACCCAGUUUCCCCAUGGGAUCGGAUCUGAGGGUGUGCCGGGGGGGCCACCUGUACCCCGGGAGGGGACAGCAAGGAACAUCCUGCGGGGGGCAGGAAUUUAAGGGCGGGCAGAAAGAGAUCCGAUAAAGCCCGACCUGCGCACAGAUGUGCGGGAGUGGUGGGGGUGGAGGGGCUAUCGGAGACGGUUCCCGUGGGAGAAAGGAUGUGGGGGGGCAGAUUUUGCAGAGGAGGGGAGGAGCGGCGGCGCCGGCUCCGGCGGUCCCGACACUGGGCGGCCCCGGCACGGCGGCGGUGGCGGCGGCUCCGGUACCGCUGUGACUUCGGAGCAAUGCAGCGAAGGAGGAGGCAGCGGGAGCAGGAAGGCAAGCGGCAGUGGGAGUGCAGCCCCUUCCCAACCUCGGCACCCCCAACCCGCGCUACCGCCACGCAACCGGAGGGGUUUGCUGAGGGACUGCUUCACCCGCAUAUCUGCAGCCAGCUCCAGGGAGGGAUGUUUGGGACCCUGUGGGACCCUUUGGGGACCUCACGUCACCAUUGUUGGAUACCUGGCAGCAUCCCUCGCUCCAUCCAUCCCGACACACAGCAGCAAGCACAAAGUAAAGUUAUCAGUAUGCCACGCUAAACCACUGCUGUCACGAGGCAGGAGCUGCUGUGAAACUUGAGGGUGACCCCAGCAAUGUCCCUGUCCCUGCCUGGCGGGACGCAGUGGGCUGGGAAGUGUCUGCCGGCACUGAUGGCCAUAAAAGGUCCUGAAACAGAGAACUCAGGAAGGAUCAUUUGGGAUGUGGGAAUGGGGCCUGGAGCUGGAUGGGGCGGUGGCACACAGCGUCUCUUCCCUGCUGCCCAUUUGGGAUCUGCAUCACCUCCCACACACGGCUCAGGGGAACAAUGCCACCCAUUCACUGGGGCACCUGGGUGGUGGGAGUGAGGUCGGAGUUCCCCCCGACCCCACAGCCUCACCCCACAGACAAUAGCUGCCCUUUGUUGGGGUUUUCUGUGUCCCCUCCCUGCCACCCAGCCGGUGACAUUUACCACCUCCAUGUUUGCAAGGGGACUCAAAGGUCAUAAGAUGUGCUGCGGAAUCGCAAAGCACAGCAGGCGCCUCUGUGCUCUCCCAUCCGUUUGAGGUCCACUGGUGGGGAACGAAGGAUGAAGAAAGAUGAAAUGGGGACCUUUUCCAGUCUGGUGACAUUUGACCUUUUUGAGAUGAAUCCACUGCUACCCCGGGGAUACCUCACUGUGAGUGCAACACCACGGAACGCCAGCCCCUAUGGGAUAUGCCAUGACUUCUAUCCCUCCAGAAAAGUCCCUGCUUCAAAAUCCUGCUCCCUCCCAGACCCACAGGGCAGUUCCCCUACGAAAUGGGCUCACAGCCCCGUUCCUCCUGGCCACCUCCAUGGGGUCCUUGGAAACACAACCCAUAAUAAACAGGCAGCCUGAGAGCUUAGAGAUAAA